rnacentral:ncRNA from 1 species
AUGAGCCGGAUGCGGGGCGACUCGCACGUCCGGUUCUUAGAUCCUAU